AUCAAAGAAGAAGAGAUGACACUUAGAUCUGCCUUUUAUUUGUUGACUUUGUGGUGAUGCAGAAUCUCUUAUCAUUACAAAAAAUUGAAUCAGCCUGGUGGAAUAUCAGUUUCUCCCUUGUUGGGUUGCACUUUUACCUGGAAUGAAGCAGCAAUAUCACAAUAUUAUAGCUAAUUGUAUAUUAGUUGGUAAGUGAUCUUUUUUUUUGCCCCUAACACUAAUUCAUGACGUGUAGAAUUUGAUAGCUUCAUUAUUUUCUGAUGAUGAGUGUGCCGCCAUGUUCCAGCUGUAUAUUUAAUAACAUUGUAUAGACUAGUUUAAUGUGUUA
rnacentral:misc_RNA from 1 species